rnacentral:rRNA from 1 species
UACAGAGGGGGCAAGCGUUGUUCGGAAUUACUGGGCGUAAAGGGCGCGUAGGCGGCCUGUUAAGUCGAACGUGAAAUCCCUGGGCUCAACCCAGGAACUGCGUCCGAUACUGGCAGGCUUGAAUCCGGGAGAGGGAUGCGGAAUUCCAGGUGUAGCGGUGAAAUGCGUAGAUAUCUGGAGGAACACCGGUGGCGAAGGCGGCAUCCUGGACCGGCAUUGACGCUGAGGCGCGAAAGCGUGGGGAGCAAACAGG